rfam:Brassica oleracea var. oleracea cultivar TO1000 chromosome C8, whole genome shotgun sequence
GGAAUAUAAGAACCCGUCUUUUAAUUUUUAACUAAAAAAAAACUAAGAACCGGUUUUUAAAUAAGAGUUUUAAGAGCUGGUUCUUAACUUUUUUAGUUAAAAGUUAAAAGACGGGUUCUUAUAUUCC